AGUGAACGCUGGCGGUAGGCCUAACACAUGCAAGUCGAACGGCAGCACAGUAAGAGCUUGCUCUUACGGGUGGCGAGUGGCGGACGGGUGAGGAAUACAUCGGAAUCUACUUUUUCGUGGGGGAUAACGUAGGGAAACUUACGCUAAUACCGCAUACGACCUACGGGUGAAAGCAGGGGAUCUUCGGACCUUGCGCGAUUGAAUGAGCCGAUGUCGGAUUAGCUAGUUGGCGGGGUAAAGGCCCACCAAGGCGACGAUCCGUAGCUGGUCUGAGAGGAUGAUCGGCCACACUGGAACUGAGACACGGCCCAGACUCCUACGGGAGGCAGCAGUGGGGAAUAUUGGACAAUGGGCGCAAGCCUGAUCCAGCCAUACCGCGUGGGUGAAGAAGGCCUUCGGGUUGUAAAGCCCUUUUGUUGGGAAAGAAAAGCAGCAGGUUAAUACCCCGCUGUUCUGACGGUACCCAAAGAAUAAGCACCGGCUAACUUCGUG
rnacentral:rRNA from 1 species